rnacentral:rRNA from 1 species
AUGUUUGACCAAGGGCGUGCACGUAGAGCACUGGCAAAGUUGAUGGUGCUACAUGAAUUGCCUUUCUCUUUUGUUGAGUAUCAUGGAUUUAGGUCCUUUGUUAAGAUGUUGAAUCCAUGGUUCAACGUGGUAUGUAGAGAAACAACUAAACAAGAUUGCAUUGCUGCAUAUGAUAGACACAAAAAAGAAAUUCAAGCAUUCUUUAGCAAUCUAAGUUCUUGAGUAUCAUUAACGGGUGACAUGUGGACGUCCAAUCAGAAACUGGGUUAUUUAUGCAUAACCGCCCACUUUAUUGAUGGAUCAUGGACUCUACAAAACAAAAUAAUCAGAUUUUUCCUCUUGGAAACUCCAUACAACGCCCAUAACAUGUUUGACAUGGUGCAAAAGAGCUUGAGAGAUUGGAACAUUGAAGACAAAAUCUUUUGCUUUACCCUAGACAAUGCACCUGUUAAUACCUCGAUGGUUGGCCACUUGAGAAAAAAUCUGGUAGAUAGGAAUCUUGUGCAUCAUAGUGGAAAAUUAUUUCAUGUUAGAUGUGCUGCACAUGUACUGAAUCUCGUGGUGCAAGAUGGACUCGACGCAAUGGCAUCUGCUGUUGAUAAAAUCAGAGAAUCAGUGCAGUAUGUCAAGAGUUCGCAAGGUAGAAUGGAGAAAUUCAAUGUGAUGAUUGCGCAGGUUGGACUUGCUUGUAAAAACCAUCCUUCACUAGAUGUGCCCACAAGAUGGAAUUCAACAUAUCUAAUGCUUGAAUCAUCAUUGUUGUUCAGAGCAGCGUUUGAAGCCUUGAAAGAAACUGGCAAAGAUUAUAAAUUUGCUCCUUCAUCUAGUGAAUGGGAGAUGCCCGAAGCUAUUUGCCAUCUUUUAGGCACUUUCUACUCAGCCACAAACAAAAUCUAG